rnacentral:rRNA from 1 species
AGGCAAAUCCGCUUUGAUAAUGCUGGGAUGUGAUGGGGAGCGAAAUUUAGUAGCGAAGUAGCUGAUUUCACACUGUCAAGAAAAGUCUCUAUCGAGGUUAAAGGUACCCGUACCGCAAACCGACACAGGUGGGUGAGGAGAGUAUCCUAAGGCCAGCGAGAGAACUGUUGUUAAGGAACUCGGCAAAAUGACCCCGUAACUUAGGGAUAAGGGGUGCCACCAUCAGGUGGCCGCAGAGAAUAGGCCCAAGCGACUGUUUACCAAAAACAUAGGUUUCUGCUAAGUCGCAAGACGAUGUAUAGGAGCUGACGCCUGCCCGGUGCUGGAAGGUUAAGGGGAUCUGUUAGAGCAAUCGAAGCAGUGAACUUAAGCCCCAGUAAACGGCGGCCGUAACUAUAACGGUCCUAAGGUAGCGAAAUUCCUUGUCGGGUAAGUUCCGACCCGCACGAAAGGCGUAACGAUUUGGGCACUGUCUCAACAACAGACUCGGUGAAAUUGUAAUUCCGGUGAAGAUGCCGGAUACCUGCGACAGGACGGAAAGACCCCAUGGAGCUUUACUGUAGCUUGACAUUGGGUCUUGGUACUACAUGUACAGGAUAGGUGGGAGGCUUUGAAACCAGGACGCCAGUUUUGGCGGAGCCAUCCUUGGGAUACCACCCUUGUAGUACUGGGACUCUAACCAUAGGCCAUGAAUCUGGUCUUGGGACACUGUCAGGUGGGCAGUUUGACUGGGGCGGUCGCCUCCCAAAAGGUAACGGAGGCGCUCAAAGGUUCUCUCAGUACGGUCGGAAAUCGUACGUAGAGUGUAAAGGCAAAAGAGAGCUUGAUUGCAAGACAUACAGGUCGAGCAAGGAUGAAAAUCGGACUUAGUGAUCCGGUGGUUCUGCGUGGAAGGGCCAUCGCUCAACGGAUAAAAGCUACCCUGGGGAUAACAGGCUUAUCUCCCCCAAGAGUCCACAUCGACGGGGAGGUUUGGCACCUCGAUGUCGGCUCAUCACAUCCUGGGGCUGUAGUAGGUCCCAAGGGUUGGGCUGUUCGCCCAUUAAAGUGGUACGCGAGCUGGGUUCAGAACGUCGUGAGACAGUUCGGUCCCUAUCCGUCGCAGGCGUAGGAAAUUUGAGAAG